GCGGCGGACGGGUGAGUAAUGCCUAGGAAUCUGCCUGGUAGUGGGGGAUAACGUUCGGAAACGGACGCUAAUACCGCAUACGUCCUACGGGAGAAAGCAGGGGACCUUCGGGCCUUGCGCUAUCAGAUGAGCCUAGGUCGGAUUAGCUAGUUGGUGGGGUAAUGGCUCACCAAGGCGACGAUCCGUAACUGGUCUGAGAGGAUGAUCAGUCACACUGGAACUGAGACACGGUCCAGACUCCUACGGGAGGCAGCAGUGGGGAAUAUUGGACAAUGGGCGAAAGCCUGAUCCAGCCAUGCCGCGUGUGUGAAGAAGGUCUUCGGAUUGUAAAGCACUUUAAGUUGGGAGGAAGGGUUGUAGAUUAAUACUCUGCAAUUUUGACGUUACCGACAGAAUAAGCACCGGCUAACUCUGUGCCAGCAGCCGCGGUAAUACAGAGGGUGCAAGCGUUAAUCGGAAUUACUGGGCGUAAAGCGCGCGUAGGUGGUUUGUUAAGUUGGAUGUGAAAUCCCCGGGCUCAACCUGGGAACUGCAUUCAAAACUGACUGACUAGAGUAUGGUAGAGGGGGUGGGGAAUUUCCUGUGUAGCGGUGAAAUGCGUAGAUAUAGGAAGGAACACCAGUGGCGAAGGCGACCACCUGGACUAAUACUGACACUGAGGUGCGAAAGCGUGGGGAGCAAACAGGAUUAGAUACCCCUGGUA
rnacentral:rRNA from 1 species